GUCCACGCUGUAAACGUUGGGCGCUAGGUGUGGGGAUCUUCCACGAUCUCCGUGCCGGAGCUAACGCAUUAAGCGCCCCGCCUGGGGAGUACGGCCGCAAGGCUAAAACUCAAAGGAAUUGACGGGGGCCCCGCACAAGCGGCGGAGCAUGUUGCUUAAAUUCGACGCAACGCGAAGAACCUUACCAAGGUUUGACAUCACCCGGAACCUGCAGAGAUGUGGGCUUCUUCGGACUGGGUACAGGUGGUGCAUGGCUGUCGU
rnacentral:rRNA from 1 species